rnacentral:rRNA from 1 species
GGGCCCGCACAAGCGGCGGAGCAUGCGGAUUAAUUCGAUGCAACGCGAAGAACCUUACCUGGGUUUGACAUACACCGGAAAGCUGCAGAGAUGUAGCCCCUUUUUGUCGGUGUACAGGUGGUGCAUGGCUGUCGUCAGCUCGUGUCGUGAGAUGUUGGGUUAAGUCCCGCAACGAGCGCAACCCUCGUCCUAUGUUGCCAGCACGUGAUGGUGGGGACUCAUAGGAGACUGCCGGGGUCAACUCGGAGGAAGGUGGGGAUGACGUCAAGUCAUCAUGCCCCUUAUGUCCAGGGCUUCACGCAUGCUACAAUGGCCGGUACAAAGGGCUGCGAUCCCGUGAGGGGGAGCGAAUCCCAAAAAGCCGGUCUCAGUUCGGAUUGGGGUCUGCAACUCGACCCCAUGAAGUCGGAGUCGCUAGUAAUCGCGCAUC